AUAUUUUAGAUAGGGCUAGGACUUUUAUAUUCUUAUGAGUAUAAACCUAUUUAUACUUAUAAAUUUUUGACCGUUAAAUAAAGUGAUGUACAGUUAAGAUGACAGUGAUUUCCAAUUAGAAUGAUAAUGGUUCCUUAGAGCUGAGUAGAUAAUUGGUUGAAUAAUAUAAUCCAAUAAGUGAAAAUGAUUAAAUGAAUAGAUCUAACGGUCGAAAAUUUAUAAGUACAAAAUGAACUAUACUGAUAAAAACAAAUUAGCCGAACACCUUAGAUAGAAAUGAACACGAUACAACUGUACUAGACUGUGGUGACACUUAUUAACCCUUGUUUGGUUGGGGGUUAAGGGGUGGAAUAAAUCCUUAACCCCCAUUUUAUCUCCAAACACCCCAAAAAAUGGGUGAUGUUAGCUAACCCAUCCCACCUCAAAUAAAUUAUUCCGGAUUAGCUAAUCCCACCUAAUCCAACCAAACUCCGACCAAACAUUAUUUUUUAUUCAAAAUAACCGACUAUCUUUCUUAUCACACCUACUCCAACCAAUCAUUAUCCUUCUUUAUCAAUCAUUAUCUUCUUAUCCCACCUACUCCAACCAAGCACUGUUUUUUAUUAUUCUAGACUAACUCCAACCCCCAACCAAACACAAAAAAAUUUUAAUCUCACUUUAACCUGAACUUAACUCUAUCCCUAGAAUAGCUACUUUUUUCUUAACCGCGAACCAAACGGAGGGUAAAGUAUAUCCUAACUAGCUUAACCUACCACCAUAUGAUAUAGGUCACUUGAUCAGUGUUUUUUUUUUUUUUUUACUUUUUAAUCCAAUAUAUUUUUGGUGAGCAUGCACGCAUUUCAAGGCUAGUGAAUGAUAUGUUUCUUUAUUAAUGUAGCCCACUCAAUUAAUUGUACUAAAUGUUCAAUGUACAGUCCCAAGUUCCAACCAAACAAUAAUAAUAAUAAUAUUAAUAAUAAUAAUAAAGAUUAAUUUUAUACAUAUUUUGCUAAAUACAGUAAAUAACAAAUAUAUCUCUACAAAAUUCAACUUUUAUAUACUGUUUCGGUAAAAAAUCAUGAUAUUUUCAAAUAUGUUCUUAUCGUUAGAAUUCAUUAAAAAAAUUUAGUUAACAAUAAAUUAAAUACUUAACUCUUAUUAGUUUUUGAUAUUUUUACUUUUUUUUUAUAUUAUGCUGUUAUGGAUUUUAAAAAAAUAUAUUUAUGAUGGUAAAAUUAAAAAUAUAAACAAUUCUCUAACGGUAAUAAAUCAUAAGAACAUAUUUGAAAACAUCGAAACUUUUAUAAAAAUAACAUAUAAUAGCUAAAAUUUAUAGUAAUAUAUUUACCAUUCACUUUAUUUACUGAAACAUGUGUAAAAUUAAUUCUAAUAAGAAACCCAUUGUUCCUC
rnacentral:lncRNA from 1 species